rnacentral:rRNA from 1 species
ACGAACGCUGGCGGCGUGCUUAACACAUGCAAGUCGAACGGAAAGGCCCUGCUUUUGUGGGGUGCUCGAGUGGCGAACGGGUGAGUAACACGUGAGUAACCUGCCCUUUACUUUGGGAUAACUUCAGGAAACUGGGGCUAAUACCGGAUAGGAGCUCCUGCUGCAUGGUGGGGGUUGGAAAGUUUCGGCGGUUGGGGAUGGACUCGCGGCUUAUCAGCUUGUUGGUGGAGUAGUGGCUUACCAAGGCUUUGACGGGUAGCCGGCCUGAGAGGGUGACCGGCCACAUUGGGACUGAGAUACGGCCCAGACUCCUACGGGAGGCAGCAGUGGGGAAUAUUGCACAAUGGGCGGAAGCCUGAUGCAGCAACGCCGCGUGCGGGAUGACGGCCUUCGGGUUGUAAACCGCUUUCGCCUGUGACGAAGCGUGAGUGACGGUAAUGGGUAAAGAAGCACCGGCUAACUACGUG